rnacentral:rRNA from 1 species
AUGGCCAAGAGCAAGAGACGAGCGGUGGACGCCGCCGGCGUGCUCUCGGACGAUCUCAUGCGCGAGAUCUUCGCACGCGUGGCGUGGGGCGUUCUCGACCUCGUCCGCUGCGCGGGGACAUGCACACGGUGGUUCCGCCUCAUCAGCUGCCCGGCCUUCCUCCGGCGCGUCGGCAUCUCGUCGGAGAACGCGUGCCACAGGUCCUCCUUCCUCCUUGGUGCCUUCUACAUACCGGAAGCGACACCCAUUAAAAUACCGAAACUGGGCAAGAGAAGGAAAUCCCACUUGCCACCGCGAUUCUUCAAGCUUUCUACGGAGCAAACCCGUGGCGAGCGUCUCACCUUCACCAAGUUCAUCCCCAACAAGAACGGAAUCUUCAACUACGCGCGGCCCCUGGCGGCGCAUCGCGGCCUUCUCCUAGUGGAACGCUUGACCCAUGACUGGCAGAAGCUCCAUCUAGCUGUGUGCCAUCCCCUCAUCGGCGAGCGGAGCACACGUCUUCUCGCACCGCCUCCGCAGGAUCUGGACCCCAUCAACGUCGGGUAUUAUAUGACCGGCUAUGCCAUUGUCACGGCAUCAAACCACGUGCAGCCAACCUUCCAAGUGCACUUCACCAUUGAAUGCUAUGAUGACAAACUUGUGUACGUCUUCUCCUACUCCUCCGCCAUGGAUAGUUGGAGUGCACCUAUCAAGUGCUUCCAAACUUUCGGCCUCACCAGGUGUGGGCCACGCGCUGGCAUGGUGAACAGUGACAUCGUGCACUGGUUGUACAGAGGCAAUACCAACUUCUGCACCCUCAACAUAAGCGCUGAUGCAACACAUGUCUCCUUAACCAAGAUCCCUAUUCAAGUCAAACGUGGCUUGUCACCACCGUUCCCAUGCAUCCUUGGGGAAGGAAAGCUCUCAUUUGUUAAUGUCAGAGACAAAGAUAUCCUUGAACUUUGGACCAAGCGAGAACAAGACAAUGAUCAUAGUUGGGAGGGUAAGGAAGGAUGGGUGCACUCCGAGUUGAUGCCCCUAGAGGUCAAGGGAAUUGAGAUCUUGUACUUCGCAGAGAGCUCAUGUGUGAUAUUCAUGCUGCAAAAAGAGUGUCCUAGCAUAUUCGCUCUUAACCUCGUGAGCAAGAAAAUGGAGCAUGUGAUAGAGGAAGACGGCAAUAUGAGCAUGUUUUAUUCAUACGUUGGUUACGAAAAGUGGAGAGACCAGAGUCAUGUGCUUUACGAGUUAGAUUGGCCGUCAUACCUAUUUCACCUAUCAGCUAGAAGCCAUGAGGUACAAUAA